AUUGAACGCUGGCGGCAGGCCUAACACAUGCAAGUCGAACGAGUGGCAGACGGGUGAGUAAUGUCUGGGAAACUGACCGAUGGAGGGGGAUAACUACUGGAAAAGGUAGCAAAUACCGCAUACCACAGGAUGCGCCCAGAUUGGAUUAGCUUGUAGGUGAGGUAAUGGCUCACCUAGGCGACGAUCCCUAGCUGGUCUGAGAGGAAGACCAGCCACACUGGAACGGUGACACGGUCCAGACUCCUACGGGAGGCAGCAGUGGUGAAUAUUGCACAAUGGGCGCAAGCCUGAUGCAGCCAUGCCGCGUGUAUGAAGAAGGCCUUCGGGUUGUAAAGUACUUUCAGCGGGGAGGCGUUACUCGCAGAAGAAGCACCGGCUAACUCCGUGCCAGCAGCCGCGGUAAUUC
rnacentral:rRNA from 1 species